rnacentral:tRNA from 1 species
AUCUAUGUAUUCUAAUUUGUAAGAGGCUGAAUUCUUACUUCAGUAAUGUGGAUACACCGUAGAUU